rnacentral:rRNA from 1 species
CAGUCGCCGCGGUAAUACAGAGGGUGCGAGCGUUAAUCGGAUUUACUGGGCGUAAAGCGUGCGUAGGCGGCUUUUUAAGUCGGAUGUGAAAUCCCUGAGCUUAACUUAGGAAUUGCAUUCGAUACUGGGAAGCUAGAGUAUGGGAGAGGAUGGUAGAAUUCCAGGUGUAGCGGUGAAAUGCGUAGAGAUCUGGAGGAAUACCGAUGGCGAAGGCAGCCAUCUGGCCUAAUACUGACGCUGAUGUACGAAAGCAUGGGGAGCAAACAGGAUUAGAUACCCCAGUAGUCCCUGUCUCUUAUAC